AUCGGUAGCUGGUCUGAGAGGAUGACCAGCCACACUGGAACUGAGACACGGUCCAGACUCCUACGGGAGGCAGCAGUGGGGAAUAUUGGACAAUGGGGGGAACCCUGAUCCAGCAAUGCCGCGUGUGUGAAGAAGGCCUGAGGGUUGUAAAGCACUUUCAGUGGGGAGGAGGGUUGACAGGUUAAGAGCUGGUUGACUGGACGUUACCCACAGAAGAAGCACCGGCUAACUCCGUGCCAGCAGCCGCGGUAAUACGGAGGGUGCGAGCGUUAAUCGGAAUUACUGGGCGUAAAGGGUGCGUAGGUGGUUUGAUAAGUUAUCUGUGAAAGCCCUGGGCUCAACCUGGGAACUGCAGAUAAGACUGUUGAACUCGAGUAUAGGAGAGGGUAGUGGAAUUUCCGGUGUAGCGGUGAAAUGCGUAGAGAUCGGAAGGAACACCAGUGGCGAAGGCGGCUACCUGGCCUAAUACUGACACUGAGGCACGAAAGCGUGGGGAGCAAACAGGAUUAGAUACCCUGGUAGUCCACGCUGUAAACGAUGUCAACUAGCUGUUGGUCUUAUGAAUGAGAUUAGUGGCGCA
rnacentral:rRNA from 1 species